GACGAACGCUGGCGGCGUGCUUAACACAUGCAAGUCGAACGGUGAAGGGAUCAGCUUGCUGGUUCUGGAUGAGUGGCGAACGGGUGAGUAACACGUGAGUAACCUGCCCCCUUCUUCUGGAUAACCGCAUGAAAGUGUGGCUAAUACGGGAUAUUCUGGGUCUGUCGCAUGAUGGGUCUGGGAAAGAUAUUGUUUCGGUGGGGGAUGGGCUCGCGGCCUAUCAGCUUGUUGGUGGGGUGAUGGCCUACCAAGGCGGUGACGGGUAGCCGGCCUGAGAGGGUGGACGGUCACACUGGGACUGAGACACGGCCCAGACUCCUACGGGAGGCAGCAGUGGGGAAUAUUGCACAAUGGGCGCAAGCCUGAUGCAGCGACGCCGCGUGAGGGAUGGAGGCCUUCGGGUUGUAAACCUCUUUCGCCAGUGAAGCAGGCCUGCUCCUUGUGGGUGGGUUGACGGUAGCUGGAUAAGAAGCGCCGGCUAACUACGUG
rnacentral:rRNA from 1 species